ACUAUCUCCAUGCCAACAGCAAUGGCCAGUAAACUUCUGCAACCAAGUAACCGUCAGCCUGACUACCCAGUUGUUUCUAUCUAGACUACUGGAUGUUUAUUUUUUGCUCUCAUAAUCAAAGCCUGAAACAGAGCUGUGUAUAAUCUGAAAACCUGCUUCCACUGUUAAAGAAAACUAAUUGUCAGAGACUGGGCAGAGGAGGAACAUUGGAGACCGUCUCCCCAUCCUGACCCUUCCAAGGAGGAGGAAGAGGAAGGCAGUCUAGAUUUACAACAGGGGCUUGAGGAAGGUCACAGCCCAGAGGCAGAUGAGAGGAAAAGUUGGGAAAUAAUGGGAGAGCCAGAGCAACACCUGGCUUACACGUCAUUAGAUAGCAUCCCCGACCCACCAUCUCCCUGAACCUGGCAGGACUUAAAAGUAGGAAAGCAAAGAGCUCGAAGACAGAGCAGCACCUGUAGAGGAGAUGAUGAUGAUGACGAAUGAGGAAGAGGGAGAGAAGGGGGCGUGGAGAUUCACUCGGGACAACACCAUUAUCCAAAAGGCUGGCUUCUAUGGCCUCUCUCUGUAAAGACUGAAAUUAAAAAGGACGGUAAGAAACUUUUCCUUUUCUUUAUACUUUCCUGGGCAACCAGCUGGGAGCUGCUGACAGCAUCCUGACACCUGGUCUCUCUGCUGAAUCUGCUAGGAGUUCUGGUUGGGCUUUACUGCCCCUUCCAUGCCAUGCCCAUUCUUUUAUAGUUCUGUGCCACCCUACCCAACCUUGGCCAAGCCUUUCUUCAUCAUGUCCCAUAUGCUGCUUGUUAGCUCCCUAUCCUCUGCUUGUCAUACCCCAUUCAAGGCAGUGUGUAUGUUUUUAUGUCUGGUUCAGGUUCCCUUAACGGAACUCCUUCCAGGCUUGAUGCAGAAAGGAUCCAAAACCAUUGCUUCUAACUCCCUUUUGCAAUGCAGUUGGAAAUUACUUUCCUUCUUUAUCUGGGAACAGUGCAGAAAUGGGUACUCAUAGUUUAUUCCCCACUAUGGUGGCAGUGUGAACUUUACAGCUGAAAUUAGUGUGGGAGCAAUCAAUCUUUGUUUGAACAGAUAGUUCCAGAGUUCAUUGGUAGAAAACAUGUUUCACAUACAAACGGUCACAUGAUCAAUCACUGGCUUCUCUGUGUAGGGUUGCGUGAGAUUCCAGUUUGAAAUAAUCGGUGCAGAAGAACGAACGAAUGUUCUUUCAUAUGUGGUGGAGCUUUAAAAGGGUAAAAGAGUAUUGGGAAAUAAUUUAUAAUGAACUGAUUUUUUUUUAAAGCACUUUCCCCAAAAACCCAUAAUCCUUUCUGUUGGGGAUAAUUCAGAUGGAAAUUCCCAGGUGUCAAAAAAGGUUAUUUAGGUAUGCCACUACUGCGACCCAUGUUUUGUUAGUCCAAAAAUGGAAAACGAGCGCGGUCCCAGCCAAAGAAGAAUGGCAACUUAAACUGAUGGAAUAUGCAGUUUGCGGACCUAACUUAUAGAAUAAGAGAACAAUAAGAACAUACAUUUAAAGAAGAUUGGAAAACGUUUAUUGAAUAUAUGGGGGGAAGUGUGUACAUUUGAAAACGUUGGCAGCAUUAAGAUAAAUUCAACAGUGUAAAUAAGUUUUGAUGGAUGUAAUAAUGGAAUACUGAAUGGUUUAGUUUGUAUAAAAUAUGCAGGGAUUUAUGUUAUGCAAAAUGAAUCAUGCAAAGAGAAGAAGGGAAGCCAUUGAUAUUUUAAGAUUAUUUAAAUGAAUAUUUUAAAUUGCAAAACAGAAAAUUUAAUAAAAAAUAUGCAUAUAAAAAAUGAAAUCAUUGGGCAGUAUCCAGCUAACACGUCCCAUUAGUGCAAGUAUUUACACUUGCACAACAGACCUUGCUCACUUCCUUCCACUCAUGUGUAACCCACACCAUCUCCAAAUCUGCUCCAGGGGUUUGGAACAACUCCUAGAACAGAUUCCACAGAUGGGACAAGUUAGCAGGAUACUGCCCACUAGAGGGGCACUGCCAGUAUUGACAAUACUGAGCUAGCUGGGCCAAUUGUCUAAAGCAUCAUCCUAUGGCCUAAUGAAACUUGCAAAGAGGCCCUUAUAUGAACACACCAGAAUUGAGUUCAGCUCCUAUCUCAGGAUCACAAUUCCGGUUGAAAGGUUCCUAAUCUCCUACUUCAUAUAUUACUAGAUCACUAAACUAACAAAGUCGGAGAUAAUUGACUGGUAUCUAAUCUAAAAACCCAAAAGGUCAGGUCAGAAAAGCUUUUAUCCCUGUUGUCCUGAUGCACUCAAUUAGUCAUGUGACAGUGGGCUUGCAACUUGAACAGGAAUGGGGGGGGGGGGCUUGACAGCAUUCCAUUCAUUAGUAAUUAUUGCAUUCCCAUGUCUGAAAAGCAAUGUGCAUUUGACCCCCCCACACACACCUCACCUCAGAGAAAGAAAAGGGGAAAGGCUGAAAACAUUUCUAGCAUCGUGGAUUCGAAUUUCUUCAUUGCCACAUUACAUUCUGACAGCAUCUUCUUCAUAGAAACCUUUGGCCCUUUGAGAUCAAAAACUUUUAUCUCUUUAAAACGAUUCUCACUUGCUCAUUUGGUCAAGGUUACAAUCAAGCUUGGCAUAAAUGGGGACAAAAUGAGGAAAGAAAUCAGGAAAGUGUUGCACUUCUUCACAGCAUCUUUGAAGGAGGAUGCAGCGGGAGAGAUAAUUUUGCUUUAAGUGGGCUUAAUCAUAGUUAAAUAAUGCUGGACCACCCAAAUAUUUGUUAAAUUGAACAGAGACAUAAGAUGUAACAGAGGUAAUUUGUCAGGCUAAGGAAAUUCAGAUGUGAUUUAAUUUUCCUCACACACAAAUUCCACCCUCCUGCUUCCUUAGAAGAAUGCUAAGCACAUUAUUUAUCCUCCUGGCAUCCCUAUUAGCUGUAUUUCCAUGAGAGCAAAGUCAAUAAUAUGUCAAUAAUAUGCAAUAGUUUCUCAUUGCUUUGCACAGACGUGCAAGCACUAUGGUUCCUAGGCCCAAAUCAGACACUUACUGGAGCUGAGAAUUCUCUUCUGGUUGUGGAUGAGAGGGUGGAUAUACCAGCAAUGUAGUUAAAUACUUAAGAGGUAGUCUAAGUGGGGAGAAAUUCAAUCCAGGUAAGUGAGGGGUAGCAGAAGAAGGAUGGGCCACUCUAUCUUUUCUUUAUUCCCACUGUAAUGGAAGUGGGGCAAGUAAUAUUUUUACUCCCUCUCUUCCAUGACCAGGUGGGUCAGUCAUGUCAAACUCUAGGUAGGCCCCAACCAUACUCCUCUUAAGAUCCCAAUAGCCCUGGAUGAGAGUGCUUUCAGGCAUGUUCUUGUAGCUUGCUUUUUCCCAUCAAACCUCACUCAUAUACACUGUAAAAGUAAAGGUAAAGGACCCCUGACAGUUAAGUCCAGUCAUGAAUGACUCUGGGGUUGCGGCGCUCAUCUCGCUUUACUGUCUGAGGGAGCUGGCGUACAUGUGGCCAGCAUGAUUAAGCCGCUUCUGGUGAACCAGAGCAGCGCAUGGAAACGCCAUUUACCUUCCUGCCGGAGCAGUACCUAUUUAUCUACCUGCACUUUGAUGUGCUUUCUAACUGCUAGGUUGGCAGGAGCUGGAACCGAGCAAUGGGAGCUCACCCUGUCAUGGGGAUUCGAAUCGCCAACCUUCCGAUCGGCAAGCCCUAGGCUCAGUGGUUUAGACCACAGCACCACCUGUUGCCCACAUACACACUGUAGCAUUAACCAAAUGACUGGGCACAUGAGGGGUUGGAAUAAGCCUCAGUGUUUUGGCACCAGUGCACCCUAGUCUCCAACAACCAAUUUUUGUGACAUUUAUUAAGAAUUUAAUUACCCAAACUAUGUAGAAUUUUAUUCAUGUAUGCAACUACAGCAGCAAGAAUGUUACUUGCCCAAAAAUGAAAAUAAGUCUCAGCGAAAGAAGAAUGGAUACAAAAAAAUGGAAUAUGCAGAAAUCGUGGCACUUACCAGAUAAAGAAGAAAUCAAGAUAACGAGCUUUUAUAAAAGAAUGGAAAUGGUUUAUUGAAUAUUUACAAAUAAACUGUAAACAGAUAAGAACAUUGGCAGGAUUAUUGUAAUAACCUGCAGGGUUUGGGGUUUUUUUAUAAGAGUAUAUAUUUAAAGUAGAUGAAUAAAUGAGUAAAUUAAGUUAAUUUGGAAUAUGCAGAAAAUAUUAAAAAUAAAUUUAAGGCAUCACAGAAGGAGGGAGGAGGAAGUCGAGUUUUGAAAUGUUAAAAUGAUUGUAAAAUUACUGAAAUGCAUAAAACUGAAAAUCAUAAACAAAAUAAUAGUAAUAUUAAUAAAUUAACAAAGAAGAGGACAAAGUAAAGAAGCAGACUAUUGCUUCAAGGGAAAAAAAUAGAAGGAACCUUUUAGUCUAUCUAUGCUGUUAUAGCUGUUUAAAAGCAGGCUUUUCCUCACAUGCAAAGUGGCAACGUUCGCAGUCAGAUGAGAGCAGGAAUUGAGAAGGAUGAAAUGGCAAGCAUCCACUUUUAAGAGUUUAGAUCCUGAUGGGUCUUGAUUGACAGCUGACUGUGUCUUGCCAAUCACAAGUCAGUCAUGUCUGUCGGGAAGCGCUUUGACACCAUUUGGAAUUUGGAGGAGAUGGCUAUCGCAGUGUUCAUUGCCAGCAGAUUUCUCCAUCCUUCUGCCAGACCUCACCUAAAGGGUACUUGGUGUAUUAAAGGCGAGAGAUGUCUUCUCUGCUAAGGCUGAAGGGAAAGCAAGAAAUUAGGGCCCUUCUCUACACCCAGCACAGAAACCAAGCAGGUCCCCAUGGUAAGGAUUUACCUUCUUGUAUGUCUGGCAUGAAAAUUAAGCUGGCUGCAGAAGGGGGGGCCAUAGCUCUAAAUCUUUCUGCAGAUAGCCCUCUCCCAGCUUUUAUUAUUACUGUUGUUGCUGCUGCUGCUACUUCUGCUAUUGGUAUUAUUACAAGAUAGCCUGGCUAUUAUUACAAGAUAUCUUGGCUUAUUUACAUGUCUGGAAUAUACUCCUUUACCACAGUCAUAAAGUGCUGUGCACAUAUAUACAUACACACAGGACCGAAUUGGUUCCCCCCACUCCAGAUUCUAAAAGUUUUAUUCAGGCAGAGGGUCUUCUCGGCAGUGGCGCCUACCCUGUGGAAUGCCCCUCCCUCCACCCCCAUCAGAUGUCAAGGAAAUAAACAACUAUCUGCAGUGCUCCCCCCCCCUUAAAAAUGUUAUGGGGCACUCAUUUUGACUCACGAAAAUCACCAUUUUAUAGUUCAAAUCAGGAAAAAUAAAUACAGCAAACGGACAAAAGUACAAAGAUUCACAAAAUGUUUAGGGGUAUGUGUACCCCUGCAUACCCAAGGGGGAAAAAGCACUGACUAUCUGACUUUUAGAAGACAUCUGAAGGCAACCCUGUAUUAAGAAAUGUUUAAUGUUUUUAAAAAAAAUUUAUGUGCUGUAGGCUGCCCAGAGUGACUGGGGAAAUACAGCCAGAUGGGCGGGUUAUAAAUAUUCCUAUUCUUAUUCUUAUUAUUCUGUGCUUCGGUACUGACUGUGUGUCUACUCAGAGGUAAGUCCCAUUGAUUUCCAUAGAACUUAGUCCCACGUAAGUGGGAUUACAUUCGUACCUGCUUAGCUUCUCUAUAUAUAUCAUACAAAGAAAGGAGGGGAGAUAAUAGCUAGAAAAGGCAAACGUGAGCCACGCUUGCACACAUGACUCACAACUACAUAUUUUGUGUUGCAUUUUAAUGGAACAUGCAAUCAAGUUUGUACGAUAUUUGAAUACUUUUAUACAGUGGCGGAGCAAGCCGAUUGCGCGCCUGGGGUGGUGUGCAUGCGCUGUGCCUAGGGGCGGAGCCAGCCACCCACAGGGCAGGGCGAGCUGGGGCAGGACGCUCCGCGUGGCCUCUGAGGAGUCUGCCUGCCUCCUCCCACUCAGCCACCCUACAACUGAGGAGGAGGCGGUGGGCAGACCGUUUGGGGCAGUGUGGAGCCUGCGAGCGCCCAAGCCACCACGUCAUUCCCAGGAGACACAUGUGGCUCAGGCACACUGCAGGCCCUGCAGCGAGUGCCACCUGGCAUUUUGUCAUCCCCCUCAGUGAUGACACCCGAGGCAGCCUGCCCCCACCGCACCCCACCUUCCUCCGCCCCUGCUUUUAUAUCAGGCAUAGGCAAACUCCAGCCCUCUAGAUGUUUUGAGACUACAAUUCGCAUCAUCCCUGACCACUGGUCCCGUUAGCUAAGGAUGAUUGAAAUUGUAGUUCCAAAACAUCUGGAGGGCCGGAGAUUGCCUAUGCCUGUUUGAUAUAAUGCUGGAGUUUGAAAUACACUUUGGAUGCCUCUGUGUGUAAACACUUACAUGCCUGUUGAAUUCAUGUAGACAUCUAUAGCUUUUGUCUGCUUCUACUGAUUUCUCUUUUGUGGUCACCGUGACUUUUGUUCUGCAAGGCAACAAACUGACUUUGAACUUCUUUUGAAAGCCUGCAGCAUUCUGCAUCCAACCACCCUCCUUUGUAACGUUUGUUCAUUUUCCUUAAAAGCUUACAAAUGUGUUCGGCUUCACAUUGUUGAGAAUGCCUGCCCCCCAUGUACUACAACGGUGACAUGCUUUUUCAGCUGUUGUUUCCUUUGUCUAUUUAAUAUGAAACGUGUAAGAGGGAAAAUCUGAGCACAACAAUUGGAUGGGGUUUUACUCCUUCAUAGUAGUUUAUUAGAAUUUUGCCACUUAAAGAGGUACGGAAAAUGGAAUGAUUAGAUUUUAGCUCAAGAGUUCUCGUGAGUAAGAUGUACUCACUUAAAAAAAAAAUGGAGACAUGGACAAUGUUUGCUUAUUCUCUCUCUCUCUCUCUCCCCCCCCCCCCACAUCUCCCCUGGAAAUCUGUUGUGGAGGGAAGCAUUGUGGGAAGUGGGGUGGGGUCUGCAGGGGAAAGAGAAAAUGGUGGAGAAAUACCCCCCUUCCUCCACUGGAUUUUCUUUAAAUGUUUACAAAUAAAGAAAAUCCAGUGAAGGAAGGGGGGGGGGGAUGCUGGCAAAUAUCCCAAAUAAAUUACAAAAUAUAUUAUAAAAUAAAAAUAUAAUAUACAAUAGAAUGCUAAUAAAGAUCUGAAUAUAAGAAAUACAUUAUAAGAAGCCCAUCAUUUAAAGUAGCAAGACAACAAGAGGGACUAUCUAUUUUGGGAAGUAGUUUGUCCAACCAAGAUAAAUUGGGAGGUGGGGGUUAUUGUUUUUAUUGUUUUGCUAGUUACAUUACAUAUUUUUGUAUAUUUGUAUUGUAAACCAACCUGUGAUCCUCAGUUGAAGGGCAGUAUGCAAAUUUAAUUAAUAGUAUAAUACUAAUACUAAUACUACUAAUCCUAUAAUAAUAUCUCCAGUAUCCAGAUCUGUCUGGAUAAGCAGCUGAGAUUUUAGGAGAUGUUUCAACCGUCCAACGGAUGGAGCUUUCCAAAUUCCUUUUGGGAGGGUUUUCCAGAGGGCUUGUGCUACAACUGAAAAGGCACAUUCUAGAAAAGGAGUAGUCAAUAUGGUGCCUUCCAGAUGGACUACAACUCCCAUCAGGCUCGCCCAGCACAGUGAUAAUGUAGCAGGGUCUCAGUCAAGAAUGACAGACACGGGUUCUUUCCAAGGAAGGUUGCUUUAUUCAAGCUGCACAGCUGACUCCAGUGAGAUAUAAUCUCAAGACUGGGACCUGUUUUCUAGCUGGGGUUGUUAUUUAUAAUGAGCAGGAAACAGCUUCUUACAGGAAUACUCAAGCAAAAGGGGGAACUAUACUUGUGAUGUACUGAAGUUCUCACUCUGGGCCAGCAGGGGGAUAUUGUAGAUAGUAUUCACUCAGGUCCACAUAUGCAAAUAAGGGAUUGAAAGUGAUGUUCAGUGAUUGGAUAUUUACAGAAAUUGGUUACUGUUGUGUUCUAGUGCAGCUCUAUAUCAGCAGGCUGGCUGAACCAUUCAGUUCAGUUCUGUUCUGGCCUGUGAAUAAACAAGAGCUGUUUGAAGAAUCGCUGUGUCGUCUGAUAUGUUCACCCACAAUUUAACAAUACUGGAACACGAAAGCAGGAUCUGGCUGGAACAUGGAAGCAGAACUUGACUGGAAAUGUUGCAGAUUCUUCCCUUCCCACCGCAUGUCUUGGCUGCCCCAAAUUGUGAGCAUGUGCAGAUUUCUUGCCCAAACUGCAAAUGUGUGAGUCUAAAAACAGACACUAGUUAGAUCAUCCCUUGUGGCAGACACGUGUCAGACUUUCUGCUAAUCUCCAGGGUGGGGGCUGUUGAAGAUAGAUAGAUUCCAUUCGGAACCUGCCUCAAUAACAGGAGCCAUAGUCUACAACAGCUGGGGGGGCACAUUGUCUAUCAGAGCUUUGCAAACCAAACCAGUGUUUUCUGUUAUGUGACAAAAAAACAGGAAAAUGUUACUACUUCAUUAUCCCUGCUGGAGACCCAUCCCUUUCGAUCAGCUACAAGCACAUUUGCAUUCUCUCUCUCCAGUUCAAUUUUGUUUUAUUUUGCUGGCUUUCACUUCCCACUACUAGGGCCCUGAGCAAAAGGGAAAAAGGUGUUUAUUAUUAUUAGCCCACGCAAAUGCAUGGACUUGCAUUGCAUAAUGUUAUACAUUUCAUUAGGAAUCGGAGCCUUUCGUCCCACCGUUUCUAAUUUUAUUCAUGCUGUGAGUCUGAAUGGUGCUGAUUGCACAGGCGUACUGUAAUUUAGCCUCUAAAAGUGUCACAGCAAGCAAAAAAAAUUUGUGAUGUCAGCAUGCAUAUAUAUAUAUAUAUAAACCACCUCAGCCAACCUUUGUAAAAUAUUGAGUAUUUAUCUCACAAUCUCAUUCAGGUAGAUUUAGUUCCAAAAUCAAAAUGGGGAUUUCAUAAGAUGUGAAAUUAACAAUUCAAUAUUUGUGUGAGCGCUUUCUUUCUAUCAGUCCAGCACAGAUGAAACUACACAAUCUCAUCAUGGUCAUGUUAUGCUUGAAACCCGACUGCCCUGACCUCAGAAGUGCCAGGCAACUUUCAAGCAGCGGUAGGGUGACGCCACCCCCCUCUAUAUUUUAUUGGGUCUUGAAAGACCUACAAUGGCUCCCAGUACGUUUCAGAGCACAAUUCAAAGUGUUGGUGCCGACCUUUAAAGCCCUAAAUGGCCUCAGCCCAGUAUACCUGAAGGAGCGUCUCCACCCACAUCGUUCAGCCUGGAUACUGAGGUCUAGCUCUGAGGGCCUUCUGGCGGUUCCCUCCCUGAGAGAACUGAGGUUACAGGGAACCAGACAGAGGGCCUUCCCAGUAGUGGUACCCGCCCUGUGAAUCGCCCUCCCAUCAGAUAUCAAGGAAAUAAACAACUAUCUGACUUUUAGAAGACAUCUGAAGGCAUUCCUGUUUAGGGAAGUUUUUAAUGUGUAAUGUUUUAUUAUAUUUUUAUAUUAUGUUGGAAGCUGCCCAAAGUGGCUGGGGUAACCCAGUAAGGUGGGUGGGGUACAAAUAUUUUUUAAUUUAUAUUUAUAUUUAAUUUCAAGUUGGCACCAGUGCCCUUUGGACUGACAGAGGAAAAGAUAGGGAGAUCGACAACGGAUAGAGUUAGGGCCAAUGACAGACAGAGCCAACUAAUUCUACUUUUAUCACCAUCCUCCUCUUUGCUGAGCUCUACAAGGGCAACACUGAAACUAAAGAGGAGGAAUCCGAAAGGAAGUGUUAUCCCCCUGAAUGAUUGUCAGUAAGGAGGGAAGGUAACUGAGGGCUGACUAAGGUUGGCGGAGCAGUGCCCCAUUUGCCACAAUGGACCAGCCUCCACUGCUCAACACGCCUUGAACUUUGUGGGGAUCUCCUUCUGAAACAUAUACUGACCUUGUUUCAGCCAGCUUCAGUUCAGUUGGCUGAGCCCCAGCUGAGCUGGGAUGAACAAGUUACGCUGGCGUAUCACCUGAGGUGGCGUUGGGGUCUUAACUCUGGCUGAGCCAGGAAUCAGAUGACUAAGCUGGAGAUCUGCUGCAUCCCAAACUGCUCGUCCUGGAAGAUCUUGCCAUAGGGUUACCCUCAACAGCUCCAGUCUGGUAUAGGUAAUAGGUCCAAUCUUAGGGCCUCUCAGAGGGGCUUGGGAUCUAGCAGUUCCUAGACUUCUCUACCCCCAGAAGAACAGUGACUACCACUGUUGGAUACAGAGGUAACAGAAGAUCUAUAUUUGUGGCCACAGCAAGGAUCUUUACAAUAGAUGGCAAGUCUCCUCUUUACCUCAUCUUCAUCCAUUCCAUCUAGCUGAUCUGGGAGGUUAGGAUCACAAUGUAACGAACUAAAAAUAGUGGAUCUACUAUUUCUGAAGCAUGAAUGCACCCUGUCUUUUAAGAAGGAUUUGGUUCCCUUCCGCUUGCGCUCUAUCAGCCCAAGAGAGAAAAUAUAUCAGGGACGCUUCUUGCUGUAGAUGGAAGUCUAUGAUCAGAGAAGCACAUUUGUUACUGUGAGGGAAUGUGUGCCAAGCAAGCAAAACAAGAAGAAGCAGUCGUCUUUGGGUGGACAAUAAUGCUUCCAUUAAAUGCUCUAUUUCAUGUCUGAAAUUCUUUGAGGGAUAUUUGUAAUAGACUGCCACUGUGACAGCUCGUUGCGAUCAAAAUAAGUUGUCUUCAAAAGAAGCUUUAAAAGAGCCCCAAAUGUCUUGUCUUUAUAUUCCCAUUUGCUUUGCAAUCUGGGGAGAGAGACCUAACCUUCAUCUGUGCUGUUUGCUGCAGGAUGACAUAAGGCCGUUCAUGUUUCAAAGAAAAUCAGAGCUGUCUGAAAACAAAUUGAGGCCCAUUACCCUUCAUUAAUUGCAUGGCUGAGCAAGCCAUGCACCAUUUAAAGGAUCUUUAUCCAAAUGUGUGCACUAAGAGCUUGGUGUGUGAAGUGGAUUGAUCAGGGAAUUUUACAGUUGAUCAUUACCGUUGAAAUAGAUUUCCCUCCUCAGACUUCUCAUAGAAGAACUCAAGUAAAAUAAAAUAUGAGAAGAACUAUGACAAGAGGAGGCUAGGGAUAUACUAGUUUAUUUCUAGCCUGUGUCAAUUUGAAGUGUGUUCAUUCAUAAAUCCAUUCCAUCUUGUUUUUUGCAUCAGUUCGUGAAUAUAUGUGUGUGUGCAAUAUUUAAAUAUAUUUAAAUAUUUAAAGCAUUUUAAAAUAUAUUUUAUCACAAAAGACAUAUUUAAAUACAUAUUUUAUCAUAGUGUAUGCAUUUCUAAAGUAUUUUAUCCUAAAAUAUGUAUUUUUCUGCAUUUUUAUAUAUCUUUUGAACCAAGAUGAUUUUUGCACAUUUUGGAAAAGUGCACAAUCUGAAUAAGACCACCCCAUUGAAGUCUAUAAUAUUCCAUUGGAAUCCAUAUUAAUAAAAUUAUUCAAUCUUCCAUUGGAUAGGGUUGGAGCUGAAAUAUUUUGAAGACUCAUUUCUUUUGACAGUGGCUCAGAUUCAAAACCAUGCUCUAAGCACUGGUGAUUAAACUGUUUCAAUCUACAGGAUACGCCUGCUUUUGAGAUAGUUGUCUUUUAAAAAUUCACCCAUCACCAGGUAAGUCAAAUAAGCAGCCUACGUUCCAAAAAAAUAGUGAGCCCCCCCCCCCCGUCUGUGUGCAACAUAUGUUCUGACGUGUAAACUGUGCUUCAAAGAUAUUGCAGAACCUAGGGGAGAAGUGCCAUGAUCCAUGUAUGGACAACACUGUUAUGGUUGUGCACUAGGAAUCAAUCCAUCACUGACUGUAAUACACCUGACUAAUCAGGAAAACCCCAGGGAGUGAGACCAAUCAUCACUGUAUCCUCCCUCACAAUAUUUCCUUUCUUAUCAUACUUCUGAGUCAGCACAGCCGACUCUGUUCCAUUGAGAAAUUCCACUUUUUGCCUGUUAACAUCAAGUGUGGAUAGUCAAGCUUCAAUUGGUGAUACUUUCUCUUCCAGCAAGGAAUCCAGCUUGCAUGUGUUUCGGGUUUAAUUUUGCAUGUUCUCAGGCAGGAAGAGACUUUUGUUUCUCAAGUCAUGGAGAAUCACAGUGCUGUAGUUGCAGAGACUUGUAACUGCUGCGUCCCAUGACAUUUUGGCUGUGUUAGCAGCACCGGUGACCUCCCCAAGGUGCGAGCCUGGGCACUGUGUAUGGGGCUCCUGGGCUGCCCAGACAACAACCCACCCACCCCUCUUAAGCUCACUGAUGUGGUCCAAAGGAAGCAGAGCAAAACUUUUGGCACCAGUUUGGCUGCAGGAGGUGUCAGAAGGAAGUAUACAAGAUGCCAUCUAACCGUCUUAGGAACUCGACUCCAGAUUCAUGUAGGAUUCAUUCCUUAGCCAUUUCUUCUCCUUAGCCGUUUUUUCUCUGGGGGACUCUCAGGGUGCUGGUUCCAGGCCAGGGCCACUGGAGGGAAGGCGAGGGGAGGACAGAUGGUGCCCUGGGACAGACAGAGGUGUGUGGACAAUUGAGUGCCUUAUCUGCACUCUCAUGCAGCGGUGCAGAAGGAGGCUGGGGUGGCUCAGCACAGUCAUUUUUUUAGGGGGGAGAAGCUCCCCCAAUAUUUUUGGGGGAGGUGAAGGGGUCCGGGGUGUAAGGAAUAAUAAAAAUAGCCGCUUUAAGAAUAAUGGAACUGUCGCUUUUUCAGAAAUACAAUGCUGCAUCUUGCUGAAGCUACAACUGAUAGGUAACCACAAAUGACUCCAGGCUGGCUUAUACACAUAUUUAGAAUAGCCUGGGGCUAGAAUGCUCAUAAGUAGAACAGCUUAUGGUUGGAAUCUUGUUUAUUCAUAGACACCAGUAGACACAGGACCCGCUCACACCAGUGACUGGAACAACUGAAGGUCAGGAUGUGGGUCUGUCCUCUCGGCUUCAAAAGAUAUAGUAGUCGCUUAGGCUUGUAACUGGAACAAUUAGUGGUUAACACAUGAAACUAGAACAACUGGUUGUUGUUGUUGUUUAGUCAUGUCUGACUCUUCGUGACCCCAUGGACCAGAGCACGUCAGGCUCUGGUGGUUAGAAUAUGGCUAUACUGCUUACAUCAAUACACAAAUUCAUGAGAGCUUUGACCAAAUAAGGACAAUGGUAAACAUGGAGGGUAGAUGUCGGAAUUCAGAGUGAUGGGAGAUGUCAACAAGGGCGGAGAUUAUAGUAUUUUUAUUAGGCGGUCAUGAUAGGCUGUAGCCCCUGCAUGCCUCCUGACAAUGGGGACAGGGGAGGGAACCUGUGCUUGGAGAUAGGUAAUAUAAGCUUGUGCUUUGCCGAAUUGGGGUGUGCCUACUUUUGACACCCGUGCUUGCAAGGACAUAUCUGUAUUCAAUAAAUGUUUGCUGCUUCACCAAUUUUUUUCAGAUUUUAUUUUGAGGGUCCCAGGAGCCAGAGUCUUGGGACCUGCAUUUGCAGAUUUGGAAAGGGAAAUCAAAUACAGAAUAUGAGAAGCUGUCAUACAGACAUGCCCUAUGAAACCAUUCACACACACACAUUUUUUUCAGAUUGUUUCAUAGCAUCUUAUCACAUAUAGGCUGACAUUUGAAGUGAAUAGAAUCAGGAAUCAAUGCAUAUUCAGAACUGACCAUGUGUCUUGUAAACAUAAUCUUACCACAUGUAAAAGUAAUUUAAUUUACAAUUUCUGUGUGUUGGUUUCACAUAUGACAAAGAGUAUGAUCUCCUAGUUGCCCUUGUUUCUUUCAGAGGGCCUGCAAUAACCAUUGCAAUGGAAUAAUAAAAAAAGGAGUUAAAAAAAUUAACUCAAGGUGAAAAGUAGCUGAUAGUACUUCAGUAUAGAAAAGCAAUUUCUUGUAAGGCAAAGAGAUUAAAAACUUUUUUGUACUGUUCUCCCUGUGUAUAGACUUCUUUUCAAAUAUUACACAGGAUUUUACAUUCACUUACUAAAGGUAAUACAAGUGCUAUUAACUUUUUUUGUUCAUUUCUUAAAGAUGUGAAUAUAUAUAUAUAUAUAUAUAUAAAUUCUAUGUGUCUUAACUCUCCUUUUCAUCUUAGUUUCUUUGAUGUCUGUGCAUGAAUUAAAUGCAAAGCCCAGAUCUAUAAGGAAACUUCACUCAGCUUAAUGUUCUAUCUAUCUAUGAUGCCUUUACAUUAGUAAUCUGGAGAAGUAGACAACUUUGAAGAAUUUAAUUAUUUCCUGACACUAGGAUCCUGGGAACCUGUUGAGUACCCUCCAUGGUGAUUUGAUAAGCAUGUGCAUUCAUAUCCAGAUCUAGAGGAAGACUAGUCUAGCUGAACGUUCCACCUAAGGUGCUUGACUUCUGAUAGUCCUCUGUUUGGGGAAUGCCCUCCCUAGCCAGUCUCCCUCACUAUUAAUUUUUAGGAGAAGUUAUUAACUAUUUUUAGAAGGCUGUAUUAAACUGCUUUAGAAAUUUUAAUUGUAUUGGCACUGAUAUGUUUUCUGCCCUUGACUCCUUGACAGGGAAGAAGGAGGAGGAGUGGAUGGGACACAAGCCACAACCAAGGAAUGGUCAUGUCUGAUUCUCACAUGUUACUUGAAGUCCCUCAAGGGGCCUUGAAGAGAUGAGGAUCACAGUUCAACUCACUUCUGGAGGUGUCUAAAUCUCUGCAGGUCCCAAAUGGUGCUCCCCACAGAUUGUACACAUCAUCUGCCAUCUUAGGAGCCCAUUCCACUCAGGUUCUCCAGACUGGAGCUUUGUGGUCAAGAGGCAUGCUGAUGGAUUCAUUGGAAUAUGAAUAUGAUUUCCCAGACCACAGAAACCUUUCCCCCCUCUUUUUUGCAGUGGUUCUGUGAAUUCCACGUGGAAUCAAAUGACUGAAACUUCACUAAAAGUUACUGAUAUAAAAUAUGGUCCUUAGGCUUUUGUGUAAGAGCUAUAAUGCACGUUCAGGGGACCCACAUGGCAGUUUCUCCUGGGUUCUUUAUCAAUAUUGAACCAUAUUGAAAUCCUACACUGAAUGGGUAUAAAGUACUCUAGGCCACAGCUGCAAACCAGUCACAGCUGCAGAUCAUGAAACACUCCAAGGCUGUGAAGCUAAUGGACCAGUGUGUAGAUGAUAGCCUUUUAUCCCUCACUCUUCCUCAGAUAAGUUCAAAGAGGCCUACAAAUGAUGAUUAGACAGCCUCCUAGGCAGCUUACAGGGACAAAAUGAAGGAAAAAGGUAAGUCAGGAGAACCACAUAUGCUGUCUUGAACUCCUUGAAAUAAAGAAAUAUACGUUUGGACAAUUUUAGCAAAAUGUGGCCCUUCAGCAGUUGCUACACAACAGCUGUCAUCCUCAUUGACCAUUGACCAUGUUGGCUGGGUUAAUGGGAGUUGGAGUCCAACAACAUAUGGAGGGAUGUAGGUUCCCCUCCUUUGCUCCAUACAGCGGCAGACCUUGAUAAUAUAGCACUCUGAGUGAGGCCAGAAUUUGAUGCAUCUCCGCCCUCAUGUCACCUCCCUCAAGCCGGUUAAGUGAGGUGCUGGGCUCUGAGAAGGAGGCAUGAGGGCUCUGGCAAAGUCCUAGAUCUCUCCCGUCUCCUUUGUAAAGCUGGACAAGUGCCAGCUAGGCUUUAGGAAGGAGGUAGGAGGACUCUAGGGUCCCAUCAGAGUCCUC